GCAUAGUCCAGUGGGGAAGGACGGGAGGGGACUGAGCCCAGGGGGAAGGGGGCGGAGCCCAGGGGGAGGGACAAGGGAGAGCCCGGACCCAAGGGUGCAGGGAAAUGCGAGGCUCCCAGAGUCAGAGAUGUCCCCACCUGCCACCCACCCUCUGGCCCAGGCUGCUGCUCAGGUCUAAGGAUGGGGGGAGGGGAGGAUCAGGUGACCUCGACCCUCUCCUGAGUGACACCGGCCCUGGGACAACAGGUGUCAUCUGAGAACGUCCCAGCCCCAGGUCCUGCCUGUGAGACCAGAGACUCGACCACUCCCUCAUAAUCCAGCCACGUUGCACACCGGUCACAGGUCCUGUCAAGUACAAAGUGCCCAGUCGGCGUGCCAAGGACACGCCACACUUGGAGGAAGCCAGCGACUCUGGGGAGGCCAGUUCUUGUACUUUUCCAAGCCAACCACCUUCCUGAAAAUACCGAGGCCUGAAACAGACGGGGCAGGAGUACAGGAGCAGGGAAUGGUGCCAGACCGAUGUCCAGGAGGGUGAGCACGGAUGACAGCUGCUCUCGGAGGAACCGCAUAAGGCUCCGCCAGCACCUACUGCCCCCAGCCCCACUGGCACCCGGCCCAACCCAGGGCCAGGAAUGGGGGCAACAGAACGCCAACCCCAAGGCCCCCGCUCUGCCUAACCACACCCAGGUCAGCGGGCAGCCGGGGCUUCUGUGUCCUGUGUCACCAGGAUCCUGGGUGCGGGAAAACCCUUGGAAGUCCAGGAGGAAGGAGCCAGACCCGGCCAUGGAGACCUGGCAGGUGGAAGCAGGGACUGUGGCCCACAGACCCCAGACCACCUCCUGUACCCCUGCGCUCACCUCAGCCCCCAGGCCACAGAGCCUGCCAGCCCCCCGCCGCCUCCCGGGACCUGAAGGAGAAACGGGCUCUGGACAGCCAGGGGAGCCCCGAAGCCCCCCGCUUGGCGACUUGCUGCCUGAGCCAUUCUGUAGUCUUGCUCACUGCCCGCACCCAGCCCCCAUGCACAACCUCCAAGACCACCCGACCUCCUGGCCUGCAGGGUUGCAGCUGCACGGGGUCGGAGGUCUUUGGUGCCCCUCUCCCGGGGUCACACGGGCCCAGGCCCACCGGGGGGCCCAGUGGAAAGGUCCCGCCUGACCUCGGCUGGUACUGGAGGCGCAGCGGAGACCGCGGAGGCGCGCGGAGGAGGUCCGGGAAGCCUGGCUCCCUCGGGGGGACGCUCGAGGCGGGGUGCCACCGCCCGGCGAUGCGCGCGGCUCCGUGCUCUGGGCACCGCUCUGGGGCCCGCAGGAAGGUGGCGGGGGAGGGGAGGGGUCGUGAUCCGGAGAGAAGCAGGUGAGGGCCCUGCGAGUGUGCACCCCGAAGCCCAGCAUCACCAGGUCCCAGCCUCGCUUCUCUACACAGCUCGUGUGGGCUUCUAGUAUUUCAGUUACUUACUCUCAUUUUGACGGAGUCCCCCGGUUAGAGUGUAAGCUCCAUCAGGUAGCGGGUAUUUCUGUUUGCUGUUGAAACUCGAACACCUGGAGGAGUGGCUGGCACCCCAUGGCUGUUUGUUUGUUCAGCCUCAGGGCCACAGGAAGACCGCCCACUGGGGUGAAGAUUUCGGCUUCCCUGGGACUCUGCCCGUGCUCACUUCAGAUCUGGGUUAUGUAUGUCACAGAUUCAUUUGCAGUGUGAUUUUUGUUGUUGUUGUUGUUUGUCUAGGCUUCAACAGUAUGUGAAUGGAGAACUUCCAGAUGUUCAAGCUGGAUUUAGAAAAGGCAGAGGAACCAGAGAUCAAAUUGCCAAUGUCCGUUGAAUCACAGUAAGAAAAUGCAAUAAAAACAUCUAUUUUUGCUUCA
rnacentral:lncRNA from 1 species